GACGAACGCUGGCGGCGUGCUUAACACAUGCAAGUCGAACGCUGAAGCUUGGUGCUUGCACUGGGUGGAUGAGUGGCGAACGGGUGAGUAAUACGUGAGUAACCUGCCCUUGACUCUGGGAUAAGCCUGGGAAACUGGGUCUAAUACUGGAUACGACAUGCCACUGCAUGGUGGUGUGUGGAAAGGGUUUUACUGGUUUUGGAUGGGCUCACGGCCUAUCAGCUUGUUGGUGGGGUAAUGGCCUACCAAGGCGACGACUGGUAGCCGGCCUGAGAGGGUGACCGGCCACACUGGGACUGAGACACGGCCCAGACUCCUACGGGAGGCAGCAGUGGGGAAUAUUGCACAAUGGGCGGAAGCCUGAUGCAGCGACGCCGCGUGAGGGAUGACGGCCUUCGGGUUGUAAACCUCUUUCAGCACGGAAGAAGCGAGAGUGACGGUACGUGCAGAAGAAGCGCCGGCUAACUACGUG
rnacentral:rRNA from 1 species